UGAAGCUGAGUUGAUCGCCACCGUGACCCGGAGUUGGUAGAGAUCGGCCUGUGAUCUGUUGCCGUGUCGUUAGAAUAAAAGUCGUGUGCGGUUGGUGAUGUGUCCGUGAGUGUGUGUUUAGUUUCUGUCCUGUCGUUGUGUCCUGCUAUGGCGAGCUAUCCGAUGUAAUAAGCAUUUGGCACUUGUGCUUGUUUUUCAAACCAUGGAUCGUGAUGAGAACCUCUGUACUGUGGUGCAAUCCUUUCAUCUAUGCGAAUGGUCUUUAUUGUCUACUCGUAUAUCUUAAUCGGUGCGGUUUUCUGGAACCUGCCUACACCAGAUUAAGCAAAAACAAUUAAAAAUACUAAAGAAAUCUGCAAAUAUGAAACUUUACCGUAACAAGCAAUGUCUACUGUAUGUCGAGGUGUGUUUUCGUAUCUAUACUAAACCUAUCCUACAGCGACCCGAUCCUAAACCUAUCCUACGGCGGCGGCGCCCGACGUCCUUCGUCCAUCGUAGAAGGACUGACCCACAUGGAACACAAGGCCUUGUCGCCUUUCAUGCCUUGCUCAUUCUUGCAGGAGUCCGCGCCGUGAGGUCCAUGAUGGAAAUGGUGUCGCUCGCCCUGUUGUCGUCCCACCUUGCUGCCGGAUAGUUCGUCGGCAACGCAUAGGAGGCGCAACUGGUGUUGUUCUCCUUCGCGAUCCCCUGGAGCUGGGCCUCGAUGACGGCCGCUUCCUGGCGAGCGACGGCUUCAGCGCGGACGACAUCGUAGAUGGCACGCUGCUCCGCGACGAAAUUGGGGUUCGCAUCGGCCAUAGUCGCCACGGCCUCCUCGCUCGCCGCAGAUCUGGCCCUCCGUCAGCCGGUGCUGCUCCAGGAGGAACAGGUUAUACCGUUGUUCCUCCUGCGCCCGCUGGACGCCGAAAGGCGCUGACGCAAGCUGCAUCUCCGUCAUGGCGGCAUUGUAGUGCUCUUGCGCAUGCUCCAUGGUGAAGCCGGCGUGCACAGGAGGUGCUGGAGCCGGGGCGGUGUCGUCGGAGCCCGUCUUCAUCGUGGUGUCGUCCUCGUCAUCGGACACCUCGGGAGAGCUGGCCGGCAAACCGGUCUCGAUCCGCCUGGCACGGGGGCAGCAAGGGCGGCCACCACGUGCUUCAUCUCAGUGGAAAGGUUCUCCCACAAAGCUUCGCCAAGCUUCGCCGCUUGCAGUCAUGGCAGAUGCAAUGCAAGGGAGUAGGAUGUGGAGCGGCUUGUCUUGGCAUAGAGUUGGUCGGGUGUGGCCGCCUUUAAAUAGCGAAUUUCAGUGAGACCAACCGUUCGGGUGCGUCAAUGCGCAGCGGCGGAGUGGGUUUCACAGCCGUUAAGCCUAUUUAAUGGCGGCUUACGGACGGACGGGCCAUUCAACGGGCGUGGUAGAUAUCCGUCCCGUCCCAUCCAGUAAUGCGUCUUCGGCAUUGAACAGGCGCAAACGUGUCGCGGGUUGUGCCCUCGUCCGGCGUGCCGUUUCAAUGACGGUGGCAAUGAGAGGUCGCGUCCAUCCUGAGCCGUUUUUAAUGUGGUGUGGUGCGCGCGACAGCGGAAUGAAUGUGGACAGCUGGCGCCGGACGGGAACACGCACGGCGAGGAAGGAGGGGGUUUGGGUGGACCAGGCGGUCAGAAGCGGGUGUGGCAGCGGUCCGAACUCUCGCAAAACUCCCCAUGGUUGUCUUCGGUUUGCAGAAAAAAAAACAUCUGCAGAUCGCUCUACGGAUCAAUACAGGUCCGCGAUAGCUUCUACGAUGAAGAUGCAAUUGUGCUAGCCUGACCGAGUGAUGCACACAAUCUUUGACCGAUAUUGAUUUACUAUUUAAAAGUUCAUGUAAAAACAAUAAAGUUCAUAAGAAAAUGCCAUACAUGGCUGCCCCAACGGUAAAUAUAAAAAACACAGAAAUUAUUUUUUCAUGCAUCUUAAAUCCUAGUAGGUUGCUAACAAUUCGAUUGAACAAAUUUCGAGAGAGAUCAUCUCCCGUCGAAAACCGUGGGCGCCUUAUCCUCCUCUUUUUGUAGCAAUGACUACAUAUGGGAUGCCCUGAAAAUAAGUUGUAAUUUUUUGGAACAAAAUUAUUACAAGUGUUUCAAAUGGCCCAAUGCGUGUAAAUUCUCAGAAACUUCAACUUUGGAUGCACCCUCACUAAUCACUUUUCAAACAUAUUCAUACUACUUGUGGGUGGAGGUAGACUAAAAGCUAUAUGGACGUAUCACCAUAAUAAUUUGGCAAGCGAGCAGAAGGAAUAAAAGGCCGGAUGAACUCCUCAUCCCAACAAAAGCAACACCUAGUGCAUUCUUGCCAAUUCUUUUCUCCAGACUAGGUAAUUGUCCGUGCGUUGCAAUGGGGAUAAGAAAAAAAGUAUGGAUGCACUAAUUAAAGGGUCGUCAUAUUUUUACAUAAGCAUCACAGUUCUACGAUUUCCACCCACCCACCUUGUGCCGAGCACCCUCGUAUAUACUCAUCCUCCUUACCACCCACCAUCCCAUUCCACACGACAAGUAGACAAGGCAUCCCUUUUUCCUCUCUCCCCACCCUUUACUGGACAUUAUUUUUAAUUAUCCGACAUGCAAAAAUCAAUAAAUCAUUCAUCUCAAACAUGUAUUUGUAGGAUCUUCGUGCACAUCAAACAACACUGUCCACUAUUGUUUUACGUUAAAUCACUCUUCUUCGAGUAGGCUAAGCAGUCUCAGUGGAGUAACUUCGCCCCUUGUCCCUCCAAAGCAGGUCCAUGCAGCUAAGCAACCCUUGACACGCGAAAAAGAAAACACAGAGGAAAACAUGCAACCAAACAAGGUCUCGCAGGACAAAAUAACCUGGUGACUUGUGUGAGUGCCUACAAAAAAAUCAUGUGCAGGAAGGAGAGGGGGAUGGUGGAUAGAAGAACCAUCAUUAUAUCAACCUACCAUUCAAAGCUCAAAGAAGUUUUUAGGAAGAAUACAAAAUAUAAGUAAAUCUCAAUAGGUAAAGUUAAUGGCAAGGUACAUCGUUUUUCUUUCAAAAGGAAUAUCCACGGCCCAUCAUUUGUGAUGCACACAUCCAUCUUUUAUUGAAUAAAAUUCAAAUGUUCAAGGGAUUUAGAAUAAUAGAAAAGGAAAAAACUACAACCUCUAGCAAAAAAGGAUUACAUGACACGUUCACAUAAUUUACUAAAGAAGCUGUGUAAUGUUAUAACACACACACCGAAGGUAAUAAAGAAAACAAAAUACCCCCUACUUUCCACCAAUUGUAACAAUCUUUGAAGUCAUUAUUAACAAACUAAAAGGCUUUGGCCUAUGCAUUCAAUUGUUCUACAUGAAUAAAGGGUUGUCAUUGCGUACAAUUUGAUGUGUGCAAAUAAUAUACAUUUUAUAAUCAUGACACAAUCUAAAUCCUAAUAGCACUGGUAGCUUCAACUUGAGAAUUGAUGGGAGUUAUAAUAUGGCUUUGAAGGCAAAUACCAGCUCCUUGCUAUAGUUCUUCCUUGCAACCUGCACCAAAACCGACAUGGCAAACACAACUUUGAAGCCCACAACCAUGACACCACUUUUGCAAGUUGCUCAAAACACGAACUCGUUUGCAUAGAACAUCCAUUUCUCUAGUGGACAUUUCCUGUACUCAAUAUUCCACCAACUUCUGUAGAUUUGGAACCAAAAAAACCAAGCUAUCUUGCUUCUACUAAACCAAGAACGGAGAAACACCUAAUCAACAUGUUGACUACUUUCCUUGGACUGCUAAUAUCUUGUUAUCUUGUUAGCGUAUCAAGAUUUUAGAUAAUAUGAACAGAAAUAUCACUAACAACAUAAUUUCGGGAGGAACAUAUAUUGUGUUACUAUUGAUGUGCGUACCCGAUGGUGGUGAAAAAACUUGUAGUGAAAGUGUAAAAACACAAUAGCAAGCAAGUAUUCCCUACCCCUACUAAUUAGAAGAGGAAUAACAAAUCAUUAAAUAUAAAUUUUAAUGAUUAAAUAAACAAGAAACUCUAUGGGUCAUGCCUAUGUAAAGUGAAUAGUUUUUUUGGAAAGGAUCCCACAACCCCUGUCAUUAUACCUUGACUCUAAAGCUUAAGCCUUGUUUUCAGCAUGUCAACUCGACAUACCAUGCCUUUUCCAAAUGCGUCUACAGUCGAUAUGAUGCAUCGAUUGUUAUUUUGCCAUGUCUUGAACUAAACAGAUAUGUUUGCUUACAUAAGCAUGUUACUGCAUAACCACAAAACCCAAUGCAAGGCAAUAAGCAACAAUAACAUGAGUAAAAGAACUACGUUCUAGAAAACUUGACAUACUGGGAAAGUCACUUCUCAGCCUGAGCUGAAAUGAGCUCGGGUGAACAGUCAAAUUGAAUUUAUUUAAAAAAAAUCUAAUUUUCUUAUGACGAACAUUGAAAAAUGUUCUAAGAGCUUGCAAAAUUUCAUCAUGGAAUCACAUUUGAGGUUGUCGCGACAGUAAAAAUUCAGUAUUCUAAAAUGCUUUCAAACGUAGCAUUUUUAGAGUAUCGGUUUUAUUUUUUGCCACGCCUUCCAGGAAUGUGAUUCCAUGAUGAAAUUUUGCAAGCCCGUAGAACAAUUGUCAAAAAUAAUUCAGAAUUUUUUAAUGUGUUUUGAUUUUUUUUAUUUUACCGUUCACCUGGGCUCAUUUGAGCUUGGCUGAGAAACUCCGCGUCCGACAUACUGUUCAUCUUAUAGCACACCCCACCACAUAGCAUUUUCCAUUUGAAGCAUUUUGCAUUUCUUGUAAAUUUUGAAGGCUGAGUUGCACUUAGCUGCACACAUGAAGGCGACAAUGGUGCCAGGGAUGCUAUGACCACAAAUUCCAGGAAUACCAGCAGUAAUGUGGUGAUGAAUUCAAACUCCCAUUGAUCCAUCAUUCCAUAUCAAAAGUCUUAACUUAUGUAGUACAUAACCAUUAUGGCAUACCUUCCACUAGGAAAAAGUAUGAAUGUACAAAAAAGUAGAUAAAAUAUUUAGAAUUUUCACAACCGCAUCUCUUAGUUUUGAUCCACACAUUGUUGGCUACGCAUGUUUUGUGAAAAAAGUAUGGAUAUUGGGAUGGAAUUCUAUAUGCAUGCUGACAUGUGUCUCUUUAUACAUAAAGUCAAUGGCGGAAUUCAGAAUCUGAAGGAAAGACAAUGCUAGAUUUUAGGCAGUCAUGACAAGAUGCAAAUUAAGCUCAAAGCAAGUCGUAUUCAAACACAAAUUAGUUCCUUUCAAGCCUUUUCUCAAAGCAAGAAGGCAUGUUUGAGGAACUCCAUUUUUAUUUUAUUUGGGGAAAGAAACUGUUUCCUUGAUAAUCAUCAGAAAUCACACAUAUAACAAUUCCAUCAACCAUUGCAGAUCUACUCAAUCUCAGAACCGUGCUGAUUCUUGCAAGACAAACUAGUUUUUGAAAUGCAUGAAUAUAUUUGCAAUUUCAUAAUAAUUUUUUGACUGAACAAACCUUUUUGAAGCAUUGAUUUUCGAAAUUUGAGAACAAUUUCUGAAGUGGUGAACUUUUUUCAAAUUUUGGUGAACAUAUUAAAUAAAUUCAUGCCAACAUUUUCAAAUUCGCCAACAUUUGUUUCAAAUUCAUGAACAUUUUUUGCAUAUGUUAACUUUUUUUCGAAAUUGUGAACAUUGUUUGAUUUCCCGUUUUUUUAAAUCAAAAUCAUGACUAUUUUCUUGAAUUCCGAACAUUUUAUGAGGUUCUGAAUAUUCUUUUAGUUUUUGAAAUUUUUUCAAAAACAUCAUCUUUUUUUAUUUCCCUAAUGUGUUUUACAAUUAGGAACUUUUUGAAUUCCUUAAUAAAUUUGAACAUAAAAAUACGAAAAACAAAAACCGGAAUGAAGGGAGGAGCUGCGGGUGCGCGCGCUGUGUGUCCAGCCUGUUAUGCGGAAAAGAAAACCCUAUUUGCCGCUCUUUGCAAUAAGUUGUUGCGGUUUCGCAUAAACGAGCGAGCGACCUUUCGGGGUGGGCCGACCCGUUUAGAGUUGCAGCGAUACCGGUUUUGGGAACAUUUUAUGAUGUUUCUAGCCUAUUUAUUCUCGUUUAGGGAACGUUUUAUCUUUUUCAUUUAAUAUUUUUCUCUUCUUUUUCGUUUUUUUCAUUUUUUCCUUUUCUUGCCUUUUUUCUUUUCUUCCACCUUUUCAUUUUUCUUUUUCAAAAUUAUUUUCAGUUUUUCAACAAAUGUUCCGGAAUUUAGGAAAUGUUUGAAUUUUCCUAAUUUUGUUCACAUUUUAGAAAAAUGGUUCUGUUUUCAAAUUUUGUUCAGAAAUUUAAAAAAAGUUCGGUAUUUCAAAAAUUAUUUGCCUGUUUUCAGAAAAUGAUUGCAUUUUAAAAUUUUGUUCACAAACUAAAAACUCAAGGAUUUCAAAAGCUUGUUCCCAUUAUUCAAAAUUUGUACGCACAUUCAUAAAAUGUUCAUGCUUUUUAAUUUGUUCACAAACUCAGAAUAUGUUUGCAUUUUAAAAAUAUUUGGAAAUAAAAAUGUUCCCGUUUUUCAAAAUUUUCACAAAUUAAACAAAAUGUUAUGUUUUCGAAAUUGGUUCACGAAUUAAAAAAUUGUUCAUGUUUGCAAUUUUUUUACCAAAUCAGAAAAUCUCCGGGGGGAAUUUUGAUGCUUUUUAUUUUUGUAAAAAUUGUUCAUAAUUUCGAAGAAAACGUUCAUGUUUUCUCUUUUGUUUAUUGAUUUUCAAAAAAUGUUUACAAAAGUUUAUGUUGGAAAUUUCGCGAACUGGUUUUGAAGUUUUGUCGCCGCUGUUAGGUUCUUUAAGAUUCGUGUUGUAGUUCUUUCAGAUGGGGACUUGGUCUCGGUGGCUAGCGCAGCGUUUGCAUCUUCACGAGAUGGUGGGUUCGAUCCCUAACUUGAACUGUUUUGCGAAAUUUUACCGCGCCAAGCGAAUGCACCUCUAAUGGGCCGACCCAGGGUAAGCUGCGCCCUGUGCGAAGCCGCGAUGCCCGAUGGAGCCCAAAGUGUGCUCUAUGGGCCGGCCCCUUUAGCGAAUAUUUUUUUCGCCCGCUGUUCUCACCUGGUUUUUAUGGUUAUCUGUAGUGUUGACCACGUUUAUAGUUGACUUUUAGCGGACUAUUAUGUAUAUGAAAAAAAGUUUGUGGAUAUGAAAAGGUUUAUUUUCUAAAAUAAAACCUCAAAUUUGAAAAAAACAUUCAUAAUUUUGAUAAAGUUCAUGAAUUAAAAAAACACAAUUUCGAAAAGAAUCAUGAUUUUGGACAAAUUUAAUAAUUAGUGGGAAGUGAUUCUGUUCGGCCGGCUGAAAACGCGUCGCGCGUCCACCACCUUCUCUAAGCUACACAUGUCUAUGUUGGCCCAUGAACUUUAUCUCCUCCCCUUCCCAAUCUUAUCGCACCUUCUUUCUUCUUCAAAGGUACUACACACCUGCAACGACCAUGGCUAGAUGGAGCGCGCGUGUGUGCUACGGGGUGCGGCCGUGGCUGGGCUGCACACGCGCGGCGCAGAGGGCCCGCCCUGAGCUUGUGCUUCUCCAUGUACAUGGCCAUGGUGUCCAGGCUCGAAUAUAGAGAUGCCUUUUUGUUUUGCAACAACGCCUUUUGAUGUGGCUUUUUGCAACAUCUGCAAUGUUACAAAUGUCGGCGACGAAUGACGGUUGUGGUUUUGCGACAUGCAUCGACAAUGGUAGCAGUGCUUCUGCACAUCAUUUCGUUGCAAAAAUUUCUACAACAUUCCCUAUGCAGCUAAAGUUCUUCCGCAACAUCAGUGGUGUUGUGAAAAAAAGUGAGAAAAAAAUCUGCAACAUGUCCUCUGUUGCAAAAGUUUUGUGCAACAUGAGCUAAUGGGCCGGCCCAGGGUAAGCUGCGCCCUGUGCGAAGCCGCGAUGCCCGAUGGAGCUCAAAGUGUGCUGUAUGGGCCGGCCCCUUUAGCGAAUAUUUUUUUCGCCCGCUGUUCUCACCUGGUUUUUAUGGUUAUCUGUAGUGUUGACCACGUUUAUAGUUGACUUUUAGCAGACUAUUAUGGAUAUAUAAAAAAGUUGUGGAUAUGAAAAGGUUUAUUUUCUAAAAUAAAACCUCAAAUUUGAAAAAAAAACAUUCAUAAUUUUGAUAAAGUUCAUGAAUUAAAAAAACACAAUUUCGAAAAGAAUCAUGAUUUUGGACAAAUUUAAUAAUUAGUGGGAAGUGAUUCUGUUCGGCCGGCUGAAAACGCGUCGCGCGUCCACCACCUUCUCUAAGCUACACGUGUCUAUGUUGGCCCAUGAACUUUAUCUCCUCCCCUUCCCAAUCUUAUCGCACCUUCUUUCUUCUUCAAAGGUACUACACACCUGCAACGGCCAUGGCUAGAUGGAGCGCGUGUGUGUGCUACGGGGUGCGGCCGCGGCUGGGCUGCACACGCGCGGCGCAGAGGGCCCGCCCUGAGCUUGUGCUUCUCCAUGUACAUGGCCAUGGUGUCCGGGCUCGAAUAUAGAGAUGCCUUUUUGUUUUGCAACAAUGCCUUUUGAUGUGGCUUUUUGCAACAUCUGCAAUGUUACAAAUGUCGGCGACGAAUGACGGUUGUGGUUUUGCGACAUGCAUCGACAAUGGUAGCAGUGCUUCUGCACAUCAUUUUCGUUGCAAAAAUUUCUACAACAUUCCCUAUGUAGCUAAAGUUCUUCCGCAACAUCAGUGGUGUUGUGAAAAAAAGUGAGGAAAAAAAUCCGCAACAUGUCCUGUGUUGCAAAAGUUUUGUGCAACAUGAGCUAUGUUAUAAAAGGUUUCUGCAACAAGACUUUUAUUGCAAAAGUAGAGGAUGACAGUCAGCCGCUAGAUUGUUCUAUAUCUGAUGGUGCACGAGGCGGCGAAUCUUUAUAAAAAAAAUCCGCCGGCCAAUGCAUAGCACUCCCCAUAAUUAGUAAGAAUUUCACAAAUUUUGAAAAAGUUCAUGGCGCGAACUGUUUUUGCAAAAUUUUACCUCACGAAUCGAAGACACCGCAAAUGGGACGGUCUAGGGUAAGUUGUCCCCUGUGUGUCACAUCCCUAGUUCUGGUAUGACCUAGACUAGCUACUCAUGUGUGCAUCAUGUUUAAAUUUCAAUGAAUUUGAAAUGGGGACAUGUGAAAGCCUCAGAAAUCAUUUCUGAAAAUGACCAAGAUAAAAAUUGCUUCAAAUAGGUCUAAGAAAAUGUUCAUGUUUCUCUAUGAAAAUAUUGGACAGAGGUAAAAUUCAAACCAAUAUUUUCAGAAGCUCAUCAAUAUUUAUUUUGGACAUUUGAGUUAAUUCAAUAAUUGUUUGCAUUGGAGUUAUAUUUGUUAUAUAUUAAAUAUAACUCCAAUAACUCUGAAAGUUGGUAAGUGGCUUUGAAUACUUUUUAAAUGGCCACAUAGUAAUUUUCAGAAGUUUAUGAAAUGAUCUGGUAUUUAAAUAAAAUCAAAACCAAUUGCAGAAAAUAGAAAACAUAAAUAAAUAGAAAACCAGAGAGAGAGAAAACCUACCUGGCGCCUACCUGUGCGGCCUGCUGCUCAAGCCGGCCCAGCCCAUCUCCACCUCCCCUGUCGUCUUCCUCCUUUUGCCAGGAGGACGAAGGGCGCGUGCCCAGCCCGCGACACCACACGCCGGCGGGGUUGACCCUCUUUAACCGAGGUUUGACCUAUUGGGGAUCGUUGCAGAAAUUAAAACAUUUCUACGCAUCACCAAGAUCAAUCUAUGGAGAAACUAGCAACGAGAGAGAGGGGAGUGCAUCUUCAUACCCUUGAAGAUCGUGAUGCGGAAGCGUUACAAGAACGCGGAUGAAGGAGUCGUACUCGCAGCGAUUCAGAUCGCGGUUGAUUCCGAUCUAAGCGCCGAACAACGGCGCCUCCGCGUUCAACACACGUACAGUCCGGGGACGUCUCUUCCUUCUUGAUCCAGCAAGGGAAGAGGAGAAGUUGAGGGAGAGCUCCGGCAGCACGACGGCGUGGUGGUGGAGCUUGCAGUUCUCCGGCAGGGCUUCGCCAAGCACUACGGAGGAGGAGGAGGUGUUGGGGAGGGAGAGGGCUGGGCCAGCGGAAGGGGUGCGGCUCCCAUGCGCCUCCCCACUAUAUAUUGGGGUGGAGGGGGCUAGUUACUUGCCCUCCAAGUCCAUUGGGGCGUUGGCAAAGGUGGGGGAAAGAAAUCUCAUCAUUUCCCUUCCCCACCGAUUGUUAUCCCCCUUUUUUAGGGAUCUUGAUCUUAUCCCUUCGGGAUAUGAUCUUAUUCCUUCUAAGGGGGGAUCUUGGUGCGCCUUGACCAGGGGUGUGGGGCCUUGCCCCCACUACCCACGUUCAUGUGGGUCCCCCGUGCAGGUGGGCCCCACUCCGGAACCUUCUAGAACCUUCCCGGUACAAUACCGAAAAAUCCCGAACAAUUUCCGGUGGCCAAAAUAGGACUCUCAUAUAUAAAUCUUUACCUCCGGACCAUUCCGGAACUCCUCGUGACGUCCGAGAUCUCAUCCGGGACUCCGAACAACAUUCGGUAACUGCACACUAAUUCCCAUAACAACUCUAGCGUCACCGAACCUUAAGUGUGUAGACCCUACGGGUUCGGGAAUCAUGCAGACAUGACCGAGACAGCUCUCUGGCCAAUAACCAACAGCGGGAUCUGGAUACCCAUGUUGGCUCCCACAUGUUCCACGAUGAUCUCAUCGGAUGAACCACGAUGUCAGGGAUUCAAUCAAUCCUGUAUACAAUUCCUUUGUCAAUCGGUACGUUACUUGCCCGAGAUUCGAUCGUCGGUAUCCCAAUACCUCGUUCAAUCUGGUUACCGGUAAUUCACUUUAGUCGUUUUGUAAUGCAUGAUCCCGCGACUAACUACUUAGUCACAUUGAGCUCAUUACGAUGAUGCAUUACUGAGUGGGCCCAGAGAUACCUCUCCGUCAUACGGAGCGACAAAUCCCAGUCUCAAUUCGUGCCAACCCAACAGACACUUUCAGAUAUACCUGUAGUGUACCUUUAUAGCCACCCAGUUACGUUGUGAUGUUUGGUACACCCAAAGCAUUCCUACGGUAUCCAGGAGUUGCACAAUCUCAUGGUCUAAGGAAAUGAUACUUGACAUUAGAAAAGCUUCUAGCAAACGAACUAUACGAUCUUGUGCUAUGCUUAGGAUUGGGUCUUUUCCAUCACAUCAUUCUCCUAAUGAUGUGAUCCCGUUAUCAACGACAUCCAAUGUCCAUGGUCAGGAAACCGUAACCAUCUAUUGAUCAACGAGCUAGUCGACUAGAGGCUCACUAGGGACAUGUUUCGGUCUAUGUAUUCACACAUGUAUUACGAUUUCCGGAUAACACAAUUAUAGCAUGAACAAUAGACAAUUAUCAUGAACAAGGAAAUACAAUAAUAACCAUUUUAUUAUUGCCUCUAGGGCAUAUUUCCAACAUGACCUCCCCUGGCUCACUGACGUGUGGGCCCAAGGCCCUGACUAAUUAGUGUUAGGAUUAAAUUAGGGUUAGCUAACUUGGUUAACUAGAUGUGACACUCACAUGCGGGUCCCAUUAGUCAGUUUGACCUGGCCAGCGUCUGUUGAGUUGCUGAUGUCACACUAAUGUCAGGCUGACACAGUAAAUCAUUUUCUGUAUUAAAAGUAAUUCAGAAAUUCCAGAAAAUAGUUAAAAAAUUUAAAAAUCAUAGAAAAUAAUCUAUAGCUCAGAAUGAAAAGAUUUAUAUAUGAAAAAUUAUCAGAAAAAUCCAAUCUAUCUGUUUAUGGCAUUUUCAUGCAUGUUUGAACAACUUAUUCCUGCUGAUCAGGUCAAAUCAAUUAAAUGGCAUUUAAACAAUUACAUAUGGAGUUUGAUUUUAAACCUAGGGUUCAAACCAACUUCAUUUAAAUCGUUGCUAGUUGCAUUAGCUCAAAGCAGAGCAUGUUGCCAUGUCAUGAUCAUGCAUCAUAUUGUUGCAUUGCAUUGAUUGUGUUUAUUCUUUGUUUGUCGGUGCUUGUCCCCUCUUAGUAGACGAGGUUCCGACGAUGAGUUCGAUGACACCGAUGAAGAGCUAUACUAUCUUCAGAAGUGCCAGGCAAGCAAAACCCCCUUGUUCAUUCCGAUACAAACCCACUCUAUCGCUUCUGCUCUCUUUUACUGCAUUAGGACAACAACGAUUCAACGGUUACAUGUUGCAGUAGUUGAACCCCUUUCCUCUGCAUGACCUGUCAUUGCCACAGUAAAUAGGUGAAACCCACUAGCAUGAGUAGGAGUUGUUUGAGCCCUGAUGUGCCUACUCAUUCAUGCUUGUUGUCAUGCCUGCUACUGCUUAGAUUUGAGUCAGGUCUGAUUCAUCGGGGAUGAAUUGGUAUGUGGUGAACAUGUCCUACUGUUGAGAGCUAAGUGUGUGAACACGAUUUGGUAAAGGUAGCGGUGAGAUGCCAUGUCGGAGUACAUGGUGGGUUGUCUCAUUGAAACCGUCCUCAGGAACUGAGUUCUGUGUUUGUGAUCCAUGAACAGCUACUACCACACGUUGGGCCCUGAAAUAUGACCCCGCUCGACUUAUUAACCCCCAUGUCCUCUGUCCAGGAGUUGCAAGUAGUUUCUGGUGUUUGUACUAUGCUGGAGGUCGUGCGCAGCGCUGACCCGAGGGGUGGGCUGUGAUGCGGUAGGCACAUGGCACGGUGUACCGGGAUGCCCGUUUGGUGCCUCGAGAACCCUGCACACAUUGUUCGGGGCUGUAAGUGGAAACCUCGGCCGGACUCCCUUCGGAUGGAACCUGAAUAGGCGAUAAACCUCGAAUAGGGACUUGUGUGGUUAGUCAGGUCAUGGUCUACACCCACGUCGGCUUUCGCUUGAAGUCCGCCGAGCACAUGUCGUGUGUAGACGCUAAGUGGUGGAAACAUGUGUGAAGAAGUACACCCCUGCAGGGUUAUAAAUGAUCUAUUCGAAUAGCCGCGUCUGCGGUAAAGGACCUCUGGGUUGCCUAUACAGUUCAUAGACAAGUGAAAGUGGAUACUCUAAAAUGCGCAAGAUAAGCGUGAGUACUAUGGAUGGCGUUCUUGUAGGAAGACGGGAGCGGACCCAUAGUGGUGUAUUGAUUGGUGAAUAUGUGGAAUCGUGUGCGCCACCUCAAAAGAGUUACUUGCAGUCCUAGUUUAGGAUAGCUACCGAGUCAAAGCUGGCUUGCUGCAGUUAAACUCCACUACCCCUUUGUUGAUACCGAUGCAUAUGUAGUUAGUUCUGAUGUAAGUCUUGCUGGGUACAUUUGUACUCACGUUUGCUUAAUUUAUAUUUUUGCAGAGAGACUUCAGUCUCGCUAGUAGUUCCGUGUGGACUUCGACGUUUAGCUUGUUAACUCAGCUACGAUCUUGUGCCCUCGACAGGGUCUUGUAGAUAGUCAGGCUUCUCAGCCUUUUCUUUUGUAGUUGUCUGUACUCAGACAAGUUAAGCUUCCGCUUGUGCUUGUUGCUUGUAUGACUUGAAUGCUGGGUCAUCAGACCCAUGUUUGUAAUACUUGGCUCCUCGAAGCCUAAUAAAUAAAUACUUUGAGUCAUAGAGUUAUGUUGUGAUGCCAUGUUGUAUUUGCACACAUCGAGCAUAUUGUGUAUAUGAUUUGAAAUGCUUGGUAUGUGUGGGAUCCGACAACCUAGUUGUUUAUCCUUGGUAACCUCUCUUACUGGGAAAUGUCUCCUAGUGCUUCCACUGAGCCAUGGUAGCUUGCUACUGCUCCGGAACACUUAGGCUAGCCGGCAUGUGUCCUUCUUCGUUCCUGUGCGUGUCCCUUCGGGGAAAUGUCACGCGGUGUCUACCGGAGUCCUGUUAGUCUGCUACAACCGGAUUCUCCGGAGUCAUGUUAGCCUAGCUGCUACAACCCGGAUUCACUCGCUGAUGACCGACACAUUCGUUGCUGGGUCAUGUAUGCCUGUCCCUGUAAGUUAGUGCCACUUUGAGUUUACGACUAGUCAUGUCGGACCGGGUUCUUUGUCAUAUGGAUGCUAGCGACACUAUCAUAUACGUGAGCCAAAAGGCGCAAACGGUCCCGGGCCAGGUAAGGUGGCACCCGUGGGAAUACCGUGUGUGAGGCCGCAAAGUGAUAUGAUGUGUUACAUGCUAGAUCGGUGUGAUUUAGGACCGGGGUCCUGACACUGUGCGAAGCCGCGAUGACCUAUAGAGCCCGAAGGCUGCUGUAUGGGUCGGCCCCUGUAGCGAAUGUUUUUUUCGCCCACUAUUCUCACCUGGGUUUUUAUGGUUGAUCUGUAGAGUUGACGUUUACAGUGGACUUUUAAGAGAAUAUUAUGGAUAUCAAAAAGGUUUGCAGAUUUGAAAAAAUUGUUUUUUAAAUAAAACCUUCAUAAGUUCGAUAAAGUUCAUGAAUUUGAAAAAAUAUCACAAUUUUGGAAAAAAAUACGAAUUUGGAAAAUUUCAACAAUUGUGAAAAAUUCACAAAACUUAAAUAAGUUCAAAAUUUUGAAAAACUUCAGAAAUUUGGGAAGGUUUGCGGAGUAAAAAAAUUCACUAAUUUCAAAACAUAAUAACCAAAUAAAACCGAAGAAAACCCGGUUUUGAAAACAAAAAUAAAAUAAUAGAAAAUAGGCCGGAAGCUCUCAAAAGUUUCCCAGAACUAGGAGAGAGCUUCCCCGCUCGAGCGCUCGUGUUACUUAUAUGGGCUGGCCCAUUUGUAGUCUAUCAGUGGUUCGGGUUGUGUGUUGUGUACGAUUAAGCCUAUAACUGAUGCUAUGGGUGCCAAAUAGGAAUUUCCUCUAACCCGCAACAAGCAAGAUAUAGCUUUUGCGGCCCUGCGAUGUUAGGCAGACCAAUUAUCAUGAAAUUGUAAAAGGACUUGAAAACACAAAAAUGUUCGCCACCCAGAAAGAAAAUGCACGAAGAAACUUAGACUAGUUACAUAGCACGACCCAAAUAACACCAACAAAUCUACCCCGUCCUGAAUCUCUACACCUUAGAUUUGUGCUCAUGGAAUUAACUAAUAUUUAACUAAAGACAACUGUAACGACAGGCGCUUAUUGUGUGGACACUAAUACAAAUAAGAUAUGAAUAUUAUAAAAUUACCUGCCCUCUCUCUCAGGACGGGACACUAAUUAUAGAUGCAACACCGUCGUUCGACCGGUGUAUUCGCUGCAAACCUUGUACGGAAAAGGGCAACCAUCGUUGACAUUAAUGCUACAUAUACGGGCUUUUUGUUUACACAGGAUUACAGAGGAGGUGAUUUGGACGCGUACUAUUAGUUGGUGGAUGGGCCCUUCACCAGAAAUUCAGAGAGGAGAGACUAUUGACAAAUUACACACUGUCUGCGGUAUAACAACCCCGUAAAGCCAUGUACAUUUAGGAUUACUAGCACCAAUGCCCGUGGGUUGCAACGGGAAAAAACAACGAUUCGUAUAAACCACGUUGCCGAGCUGAGAAACUGUAUCGUGGGACAAUGAUCGCCGAUGAGAAAAAGGCGUUGAAUCAUUUGAGGACGACAACAAUCAAACCAACCUAGAAUAACAAUUGCAACACCAACAUCAGCAAGCAAACCAACCUAGAUGGAAACUAAUUCAGGAAAACUUCCAUAAUUUAACAUAUCUACUUGGUCAAAUGCAACUUUAUCAUGCAAACCUAAAAAGUUUAGUAAAUAAUCAGUCAUUGACUUCACAUGGAAUUAAAUUGCAUAUGUAGGUAAACUGUAAUUGCGGCCAAUGAAUUGCGGACUCUAGAUGGAAGUAGCAAAACCCACAUGGAAGCAAGCAAAGAAAUCAUCUAAACAAAGGUGGGAAAAAAAGAGUGUGGAUAAAAAUCACUGGUGGAAGACUUACCUUUGGUUCGAGGGUUAGUGGAUACAGUCAGAUAUUUUAUGUACUUUUUUGUUUUGUAAUCCAGUCACAUGUAAUCGAUCGAUUUUAUUAUAACAGCUAUGUUUUUGGAGUCUCCUGUGAGAGAACCCGUGUUGCCAUAUAUGCAUGCCCCACAAGAAUCUGUAGCCAUUCAUUUAAUUAACUCGUCAUUAUGAUUAGCCAAUCAUAAUUAUCUGCGUCAUGCACGUCUCUCAGAAAUUGCCAUAUACUCUGUUUAAUUAGCCCAACAUUAAUUAGCCAAUCAUAAUUAUAUGCAGUAUGAUGUCUCGUCUCUUGGGAAUCCCACUCAAUUAGCCCACCGUUAAUUACCUUAAUCUGUUUUAUUAGCCCACCAUUAAUUAACCAAUCAUAAUUAUAUGCAUCAUGUAUCUCUCUCGGGAAUCCCAUUCAAUUAGCCACCUUUAAUUACCUCAUUCUCUUCCUUCCUUAUCUCUUUUUCUCACGUUUUUUCUUUCCUUAUUAUCUCUGGGCCACGUUGUUCGAAAUCACAAAUCCUCUCAAUCUUUCCUUAUUGAAACCCAACACGUAGGACACGACCGAUGAGCGAUUACAAAAGAGAACUGUCCGCUUUUCUUUCAGGCAACAGGUGCUAAAUUGGUUGGUUAACGCGUGCGGGCCUAUAUCUCGCCAACCCGGGUUCGAUUCCCAUCUAGCACAAUUUAUCUUUUGGAAGCAACGUACACACAAAUGGGCGGUGUGUCAAAAAAAACCACAACGUACGAAAGUGCAAACGACCGACAAAAGGAGGACGGCGUACAAAAACACUAAUGGACAAAAAAUAGUGGAGAAACAAUUCAUCCUUUAAUACUCCCUCCGUCCCAUAAUAUAGGUAAGAUAAAGAUAAAGAUUUCCUGACUAUGGGAUCGAAACUACAACUACCAAAGAGUGACCUCUGUUUUAAACCCUGAGGUAGAACUACAAUUAGGUAAGAUGAAAUUGGUACCCUCAACUUGCUGAUCCCGAUCAAUUUGGACCUUAGAUCCGUUUGCUGCACCGGGAAAAAGAAGAUCCAGGCCGGGAUCAGUCGCUACUCUCACUGAGGCGGGGCAAGUUGGUGCUUGAGGGAAGGGCCAGGAUGAUGGGCCUCGAGGCGGAGGCGGCGCGGCGACGCGCCUAGGAGGGUCACUUACGCAUUGCGAUUGCGGCCGCCCGCCGCCGUACGGUGCGAGGUGGCGGCUCCCUGCGUCCACGUGCUCCGGUGGCUCAAGGCGUGCGCGCGCGAUGAAAGGAAGAUGCCGGACCCUCCCGUGGACGCCGAGGUGCAAGUGCCCAUGAGACAACGCCAGUGCGUGACCGCGGCCACCGGGAGGAUUCGCUGACUAGCCGUGCUCGGUUCCUACGUGCCUCCCCCACCACCGCGUCGUCCUGACUCGCGCAUGGCACAGGACCGUCAUCUACAACAAUCGGCAUUCUAAGGCGCACCCACACCGAGCCAAAGCCAUGGACCGACGGACGGGGUUGCAGCUCAGGUGGCUAGCAGCUGGGGUGCGGGUUGGCGUGCACGGCACGCGCGUACAACACGCAAAGAGCGGCUUAACUACAGGGGUUAGUGCACGCAGAGAGAGAAAGAAAUUGGAAUAGGGGUGGUGAGCGUGCACUGCGUGGCCAUCGCGUGCUCAGCGCGGCAUGCACUCUGACGGACUACUCCUAGAGAAAUCAAUCAACCUGUAUGUUUGCUUCCGAGCAACUCUAGUUUUGAACAUAUGUCUAUCUACUAUCAUUAAUCGAUCUAGAAUCCUAAGUUCCUAACAGCAACAACGUCUUGGCGAUGGAGGCCGUCCAUGAAGCCGAUCGAAACGUGCGGCAUUCGCCUUGGCCUCCACCGACGGCAUGUGCAAGGUCGGGAGCAUCGUAGAUGGCCACAUCCCCGUCGCUUCUGUUGUCGCACGCAGACGAGCGGUUCGCACGAGCUCGUUUCGGGAGCUGGCUAUGUGAUCGGUAAGAGACAGGGAGGGGAAAGAGAUCGAGGAAGGAGUAUAUGGCAGGUAGGCCCGUGUGGUCAGUGAGACAAACAAGGGAUCCCGGACAGGAUUGUCCUUCCAAACAGGUCUAGGGGCGGUUUAGGGUUAUAAUUGAUCGGGAUCGAUGAGGUCAGGGUACCAACUUCAGGGAUUUAGAGGUGAAGGUUUAUUUCCGUCGUGGUCUACAAUCUCAGGGUUAAAAACAGACUUCACUGGUUGACAAUUACCUGGCGCCAUCCACUAGCGCCCAAUGAUGGAGAUGGCCAAAUACAUACCUAAUUGACAAUUACCAAAUAUGAGAAAAACAUGCACUCCUUUUAAUUUAUCUAUAUUCUUAUAAAUUUUUAUUUAUUACCACCCCUUAAAAAAUAUUGAAAUGACUCAGACAACACAAACAAGCAAACCCAAUGGUUGGGUGCUCUGUUCAGACUGUAGGAUUCUACGGCAGGGCGGGUCGACUACAAAUUAAAAAUUUCUACCCACAGAACAUCCAGGAACACACUACAAGAGAUGGAUCACGGAUCGUUACCACUAGACGUGCAAUGCCGUGCAGCAGAAGUAGAUUUGGGGCAGCGCGUCUCCGGAGUCGUCUCCGCCUCGAUCUCCCAGGUAGCCGAUCGGAUCGCAUGAACAGGUUCGACGGAGCGGCACAAGUAUACCGCCUCUAACGGUAUCCGCACGUGCAGGAGGAACACCGUGCGGCGGACUGCUAGUUCCAUCUGCUAGUUCCAUCAAACAGCCGACAGCGAGUGGAGGUGGCUAGUUGCAACACAUGCAAGGCCCUAGUGGAGACGCCACAGCAAUCAACUGAAACGGUAUGUCGCACCUCCACUAUAUAUAGGCAUCCGUCCCGGGCUCAACACUUGGGCCUUGCAUGGAUUCUAAAGCCCAAAGUUUGUUCGGCAUGGAUCCUAGUCCGAGUGGGAUCACAUCUGACUCGUGGAGUCGGAUCCAGCCUUACAGGUUCCUUCACUUAAGUGCGCGACCCCUUAGGUUCAAGUCAUCUUGGUCGCAGGUUGGAUCACCUCCGACUUGCUCGGUUGGUAGCGGCAUCUAGCAAGGCGUGACGACCACCAAGUAGACAAUGAAGCCGGUUGGCUUACCUGUACAACAUGUCACACUUCUAUUCUCUUUGCCACACGAUAUAUGUUGUCGGGCUCAAGGCGAGUCGGUCAUCUUUGUACUAGCCCGACCUAUUUCUCGUUCUAGUGAUGCCGACAACGAACCGGAUUAUCUCAUAAUCCUUGUCGCAUGGCCAUGCUUAUCCAGGUUGAAUCACACGAGGGCCCCAGAGUAUAUCUCUCCUGAUUGGAGGGGCAAAUCCCAUCUUGCUCGACCAUGUCUCGUAGCAUGGGUCUGGACAAGUCGAAAAUCUACAUUUAUAACUACCCAGUUAUGGAGUAGCGUUUGGUUGGCCAAAGCAGGUCUGUCACCAUCCCGAGUACAUGCGCCAGCUCAGGUGUUAGGACAUAGAAUGUAUGUUGUACUAGGGACUCACAUAUGACCUAUCGCCGCAUAUCAUAGUCGGGUCUGUACAACUUGGACCUUAUCUGGAUCGUAUGUCGAAUCCGACCAGAUCUUUGUGAGUCCAUACUAUCCGGAUAGCAUCCAAUUCUCCAUGGCCAAUGAGACCAAGCCAUCCACCGUGUCAUAUGCUAGUCUAGUCGGCUGUGCGUGCAGACAACCCUUUCGACUAGGGACUUUUUAAGGCAGUCAUCAUAUAAUGCCUAGUCCCACAAACAAGUCAUGUGCUUGCUGAUACACAUCAUUGAUAAUGUCCAAGAACUAUCUUUAUUCACAAACACAUAGGAAGAAGCAUCAUACAUGAUUUCCACUAGGGCAUAUCUCCAAUAGUCUCUCACUUACACUAGAGUCAAUCAAAUAGACAUUUAAUUCCCAUAGCUCUGACGUGCCCCUCAUGCUUGGGUUGUGGAAGCGACUUAGUGAACGGUUCCGCAACAUUUCCAUCCAUGUGAAUUUUGCAUAACUCUAUAUCACCACUCUUUUACGAUCUUCUGCAUGAGGUGAUAUUUUCAAUCUAUGUGUUUGGUCUUGUGGUGGUUCCUCGGCUCCUUGACUUGUGCGAUGGAACCAAAACUAUUACAAUAAAGGUCCAGUGGUUUUACCAUUGCUGGAAAAAUACCAAGAACAUUCAGAAAGUUCAAGAUCCAAGCACCUUCCUUUGCAGCUUCACAAACCACUAACGACCACAACACCCGCGGGGAGAGGGGUCACAUAUUCGCGGGCACAACCCGGACUGAGCCCACCAUCACCUACCCGGAGUGAAAACUCUAACCCGCCUCGGGCCCUAAUCAGAUCUGCCCGAGCACGGACCCCAAGUCCAGGUCAUCUCCGUCGCGCAAGCAGCGGGCGCCACCGACGUGGACCCAAGAGAAGGGAGGAACCACUACCAUGCACACCACGCUGUCAACCGCCACCGCCCGAGCCACCAUGACCACAUCGACGACCGCUGCAACCACGCCCCUGGCCUGCCGCAGCCAGCUGAGGCCGCUAGACCGAGCCACCACGAGCAAGGACUACUACUUCGGAGCCCCCACCAUGCAAUCAUCGUCGCAGCAGAGGCCGACCUGUGCUGCCCAUGACCCUCGUUAGAGAGGCAGCUACCUGUCAGAUUUCGCCGAGGCCCCACUACCGCCACAACCACCUCCGGGCGCUCCACUACCCACCACGCGGCCUAUGCCACAACCGUCGCACAGGCGCCCGCCACUACACCUACACGCCGGCCCCUGCACGCGAGGGGACGAGGAAGCCCCGCUGCCGCCGGCUCCAGUCGAGCUUUGCCCACCUGAGUCCUGUGGCCGCGGCUAGGGAGGAGGGGCGGGGAACCUGGUGGCGGCAGACUAGGGUUACCUCCCGGCUGCCGCGGGAGGCGUUGGAGGAAAGAGAAUCUCCGAUCAUAUUACCAUUCACCGCCAAAUUUGUUUAUCAUUAUCACCCAUCUUAAAAAAUACUGAAAAUGUCUGUAUUACCACUUUUGAUACAGGCAGAGAAGAUGCGCGGGCUGGCGCAGUCAAUUUCCGGCAGCCAGUCGAGUCUCAUCAGUUGCAAGAAGGUAAAUGUUCGAACUAUAUAUGCCGGUAGCGGAAAGAAGCUUUAUAUAACACCUCACCUAUGCUUAGUGCGACGCACGAUCAUAGUACUGCCACCCCACUAAAGACUGAAAGUACGUGUAUGCCACAACCAUGCAACAGUCGAGCAACCAAACAGCCAGAGCCUCUCUUUUAUGAAAUGGCUUCCAUCGAUGUCUCAUUCUACAUCUUUUGUGGCAGCCCGUGUGAGGUAACGCAACAAACCAACAGAUCAGCCCGUGUAAACUCCGCGUCUUCCCCACGAUGACAACCUCGUCUCGAUCGUCUCAUCGUCCCUCCUGCAUGACGCGCCGCCUUCUGACGCCAUGCAAGCGAGCCCUCGCGCGGCUCUUCCGCAUCCCGGCCUCCGCCGCCCUCUCUAUCAGGGCCUUCCGGUUCCGCAAUCUCCGCAAGUCCACCGCCAAGAUGAGCCCCCGCCACCGGCGCCGUGCCGGCCGAAGCUUCCGCUCGGUCCGCGCGGUGUUCUGGCCGUUAAUCCCUCCGUCUUCCACGCCGGCAACCUCGACAGAGAGCCAUACCGCGCGCAGGGUAGUUGCUGCGGCGGUGCCAGAGGUGCCGGUGCCGUCGCCAGAGACGCCUGCGUAUGUGAAGAUGGUGGCGCGGCUGCGGUCGAGGACGACCACGCGAAUUGGAGAGGACAAAGAGGAGGCAUGCCAGAGUUUUGAGAGCUGCCUGAUGGGGAUUUUGACGGAGGAAGGCAAAGCGCGGGACCUGCAGGACGUGGAGGAACUCCUACAGUGCUGGGAGCGGCUCAAGUCGCCGGUGUUCGUCGAUCUGGUCUGCCGGUUCUACGGCGAUCUGUGCAAGGACUUAUUCUCCUCCGCCGCCGGGGGUGAGAACGGCGGAAACACUAACCAGGACGUGGGACCAGUUUCCAUGUCGGCUGCUUUACUAGUGUAACUCGUUACCACAUCGUGUUGUAAGUUCGUAACACAAAACACUUAAUUUUACAGUUUACGCUAUGAUGGCCUUCCCUGAAAAAAAAUAUCGUAAUGGAUGUCUGGAUGGCGACGUGCAAUGGCCUGAGCUGAGCUCGAGAGCUAUGUCUCAUUUGAGACGGUAGCUUCGGGAGCAACUCGUUGACGAGCGUUUCUUCGGGAGUCUCCCAACGAUAAUUUUGGAUGGGCUGAGAGCACAUCACUUCACGCGUUGUCAUCCGCCGUCACGUGUCACGCUUUGGAUGUUUUCUCUAAUUUAUUUAUUUAUUUAUUUCACGUGUUUUCGGCUUUUUAGACUGUUUAUUUUCUGGGUUUUCUCGGCUUUUUCGUUUUUCAUCGGUCUUACUUAGCUUUUAGACAAAAAAUGAUUUUUUAUUUUACUUUUCAUGGAAAAACUUUUUUCUUCUUUCACGAGAGGCAUGAUUUUGAUUCGGCAUGAAGCACGAAUUUGCUUUCGCAAGAGGCAUGACCGUGCCUCUUCCGAACAAAAAAUAUAUUUUCUUCUUCUUUUCCCUUCCCGAGAUUAGAUAAUGCAUGACGAGGACUUGACUCUUGACUUACACAAGAACUUUAAGAAAGAAGAAAAGCUUGAAUUAUCCGAAAUGACAAGCUCCCACGGUUUUGCUUCUGUGAGAGGCACGGUUUUGCUUCCAUGAUAGACACAUCUGUGUCUCUUGGAAACGAAAAAACACGUUUUCUCUUCUUUUUUUUCCUUCCGUGAGAGGCACGGUUUUAUUUUUGCGAGAGGGGCGGCUUUGCUUUCGUGAGAGGCACGGUCAUGCCUCUCGGAAACAAAAAAAAACACGUUAUUUAUUUAUUUUUUCCUUUCACGAGAGGCAUGGUUUUUCGUGAUUUUUUUUUCGUUAAAACCUACCAACAUGGGAUUUAGUUUUGAAGAUCUCGAUGCGAGGAAUCAAACGGUGAAAACAGUUUAAGAUUUGGACGCACAGUUUAAAAGAUAAAAUAUUUUGAAUAAACGAAUUUAGAACUAAAAAGAAAAAACAUUCAAGUUGUGACAAAUGAUACACAUUCAACGUAUCACUUGUCACAAACUAAAGAAAUAAUAGUGAUCUUUGAAAAAGACUACUCCUCAUUGAUUUCCGCUAGGUUCUCUUGUCUGACCCAGCCGGCCCAUCUUUCUUUCGAUUACUGGCACCCGAAGCUCACUCAUGAGCGAUUGCUUCGCUGUUUUCAAUUUUUUUUCUUUUCUUCUCUGCUUUUUUAUAUUUUUCCCACCAGAUUUCUUUGUUACGGUUCUUUUUAAUUUUUCUGCUUUCUUUGUUUUUUCGUCGCUUUUUUUCAUUUUUUCUCAAUUUCCAUCGGUUUUUCAUUUUUUUAUUUCUUUCUUUCGCUGCUUUUAAUGGUUCUUUUGCUUUUCUUUGUUUCUUUCUUGAUUUUCAUCGGUUUUCUUUAUGUUAUUUGUUUCUUUUUCGGUUUUCUUUGUUUCAUUCUUUUACAUUCAUUUCUUCAGUUUCUCUUUUUUUGGUUUUUAUUUUUUUUAGUUUUUCUUUGUUUCUUUGUUGAUUUUCACCUGUUUCUGUUUUGUUCAGUAUGUCUUAACAUUUUUCGUACACAUUCAACAUUUUUUUAUACAUCAAAAAUAUUUUUUCAUAUACAUGUUUAACAUUUUAAAAUACAUGGUUAAGAUUUUUUAUGUCUAUCUUUUCUCCAAACACAUACAUUUUUGGUACUCCCUCCGAUCCGUAUUAUUUGCCUUAUAUUUUUCUAGAUAUGAAUGUAUGUAACACUAAAACAUGUCUAAAUACAUCCGUCUCUACACAAAUAUAAGACAAGUAAUAUAUAUUGGAGGGAGUAUAUAUCAAAUACAAUUUUUCUGAUACACAUGUAACAUCUUUCAAAUACAAGUUUAACAUUUUUUUAAUACAUGAUCAAUAUUUUUUGUACACAUAUAACACUUUCUUCAAAUACUUGAUUAACAUUUUUUAAUAUAUUGACAACUUUUUUUCUACACAUAGUAAUCAUUUUUCAAAUGCUUGAUUAACAUUUUUCGAAUACAAGGUUAACAAUAUUUUUAAUAUAUGGUCAACUUUUUUUCCUCGAUACAUUUAACAUUUUUAAAUGCUUGCUUAAUUUUUCUGAAUACUUAUUGAACAGUUUCUCAAAUUCUUGAUUAAAUUUUCUGAAAUACAGGAUUAAUUUUUUCACACACAUUGUAUAAUUUUUUAUAUAUAUGAGAAACAUUUGCUAUAUACAUAUUUAACAUUUUUCAAAUGCUUUUUUUAAUGUUAUAUGUAAAUUGUUUUUUAAUAUGUUUAUUCCAAAUAUUUUUGAAGUAUAGACAAAAGUAGAAAAAGAAAGCAAAAAACAAACACAAAAAAUGUGAAAAAGUGAGGUUAUGGCUCCCGCGCGCCUAGGCCGGCCCAUCUUGCGCUGACCUUCAUGUGAUAGUUCGCUAUGUCGCGCCCUAGGCUGAGUGAGAUGAGUGGUGGGAGGAUGGACCUGUUGAGGUAAAUUCGGUAGAAUUAGUGAAAUAUGUUUUUAGAGGUCAUCAUCUAACUAACUUUGAUAGCCUAAACAAUCUUAACUAAAUUUGGUUAGUGACCACUAGCAAUUGAGAUCAUUCCCAAAAAUAAAACAUUCUAAAAAAGUUAGCAACCAAAUUAUCAAGGACUUAAUGGUGAUGUACAUAACCUUUUGGCCAAUUAUAAGGCCAAUUUGGCAUGCAAAAAGCAAGUUCAUUCACGAGGACAUCCAUCAUAGCCCCUAUCGACUUUUGCUUUUGUACAAAAUUUCCUACAAGAACUAGAGAUCAUGAAGUAUCCCAAAAUUAGCUCUAAGCCUAGGUUGUCCUCCACACCAAGCAUGUGCACUAGCCACCAGGCAUUAGGCCGACCCGAUCUCCUCUUACCACCGCCUUCCUGACAACCCCUUAUCACCUCCUUCCUCCAUGCCACCACCAUCGUUGACGCCUAUCUCGACUUGGACACGAACUCUCCUCGAGCAUGCUCCAAUGGGGUGCCCUACACAGACUCCUUGGCUAAUUCCACACACCAAAGGCACAUAAAAAGGUUUUGAAUCCCUUGACCAAAAGCCAAGCUCAACUGUGAGUUCCUGUGCAAAACGUUUCCCAUCUGAAGCAUCAUAUCUCACCAUUCCACCGUUUUUGCCAGGACUCCCUUCCACCCAAGGUAUGUCGUUCAGUGCCUUCAAGUGUUGAUACACAUAAUCCAGUCAUCCAUCAUGUCGGCUUAGUUUUUCUUUAAUUACAACAUCGCUCUUUAUGCAUUCAUUUGUGUGUGUGUGGGGGGGGCAUGCACUUGAUGCAGGUGAGAUGCUGGUGAUUCCCACCAUUACUACAAGUAAGUACGUGUAAGGGUAGGGAAGGGUCUUCAUUGGCGAGGAGGAGAGGCAACGUGAGUGAAUUUUAGACUAGGGGGCAGGAGUGUGGAUGAUGCAUACACCAUGUGUAAAUGAGAUUAGGGUGGCUGCCACCAUCAUGAUGAGCCCAUGAAAAUACAAGGUGGUGCAGGGAGAAGGUCAUGAAGGUAGCUUGCUGUGUAAUGAUCGAGAUAAUUGCAAUGGUAUUAAUCACGUUCGUUGUGAAGAGGUGAACAACGUCGCCGCCAUCGGCACUGUGACGAAGAGAAGAAAGGGAAACACAAAUGGCUCGCUAGGGACAUGUUUAUCCCGAUGAAAAGCACGUGCACAUCUCUUAGUGCAAUAUAUAUUGCCACGGAAGCGAGCUAAACUAAGCCAGCCCACUGUUGCGUUUGGUUUUCGGAGUACUUUGUUUACUAUCGAUUCAGUUAUUUUCGGAUCCGGGUUUGGUCGUUUUCCACGGGAAUUGGUUUUCCACAAUAGCAUAAGUAUCCGGCUUUCUACAUUUUUCUUUGCGUUUUCUUGAUUUUUGUUCUUUUUUCUUCUUCUUAUUUUUUUGUUUUCAUCUGUUUUUACUUUUUGAUACAUGUCGAAAAUUAUCUAAAUACACAUUAAGCAUUACGAAAUACAUGCAAACAUUUUUUGAAUGCAUGCUUGACUUUUUGGUACAUGUUGAAUAUUUUUAAACAAACUAUAAAUAUUUCUCAAAUAAUGUUGAACAUUCUGAAAUGAAGGAUGAAUAAUUUUAAAUACAUCAUUUAAAAUGAGUAAGCACUUUCUUCCAAUUUCAGUGACAAAUGUGACAUUUUCUAAUUUUAAUUUGUUAGAAAAUAAAAAUAAAAUGAGAAAAUCAGAGAAGACCGGACCAAAAAAUCAUGUAAAACUGGUAGAAAACUGCAUGUAGAAACCAACUAGAAAAAUCGCUAGAAAUCCAUGACUAGGCCGGCACAGGUGGAUCACCCGUUGGCGAGUGCUAUAUAUCGCUUGUAGCUUGAUGUUGUGACUCAGAUAGAAGACACGUUAAGGCCAACGCCAUUUAUGGAGCUGAGCAUGUUCUCUAACCUCGUGAUCCUUGUGGGUGUGUGGCGAGGUGAAUCCCUCCUAUUUGACGCUCAUUGGUUCAAAGUGUCAGGGUUUCACACAGGGCCUGGAGUCAUGGGCCAAAUCCAAUACGGUGGUUGGGCAAGCAAUGUUUCUCGUAUCUUUUUUCAAUAGCCUUUUGUUUGUUUUUGAUAUUUUCGAGUGUGCUCUUUUGCUUUUCUUCUGUAGGUUUGUUCAUUUAUCUGCCAUCAUUUUUCCUUUGCCGGGUUCCAAUUUUUUGCUUUUAUUUAUUUAAUUUUAAUAUUUUUUCAUUUCUCCUUCUCAUUUUGUACAUAUAUUCUAUAUAUCUGAAAUUGUUCAUGUUUUGAAAAUUCACAAAAUUGAAAAAAAUGUUCAUUUCCUAAGGUUAGCUACAAAUUUUGAAAAUUCCAACUUUAGAAAAUAUUCAUGAACCUAGAAAGUAUGGAAAAAGGAAAAUUAAAAAUUAAAGGAAUCGGGAGCAAUCCCGAAAAGGAAAGUUUUUCUUUGAAAAACGUUAGAAACCAGCGUUCCAUUGUGUUUUUCCCCAACAUUCUAAUGCACAGUGUCAAAUAGGAGGGGAUUUCUCGGUGAGAUCGUCCUACCAUGCGGAAUGGGAACACCAACCUGGACGAAAAUUGAGAAGGACAAACUCUAUUGAAGCCUCAAGUACUAGCCCAAUUUGGAGUGUUGUUUGGAAAUUGCAUGUUCUGGCUAAGAUCAAGAUCCAUGUCUGGAGAAGUUUAUUGGGUGCAAUACCUUGCUACAGUGUUCUGACCAAUAGGCACAUGGCCACAAUUCUCAAUGCCCCCUCUGUAUGGCGGACUGCGAGAGCAUCACACACACGUGGUGGCUACAUUCAACGAUGACUAAGGUACUGGAGCUUUGGGUGCUAUUCUUCGCGACUAUAAUGGAUAUUUUUUGGCGAUGUCUUGCAGCCAUAUUCCCUUUGUUGAUGACGCUGCAUUGGCGGAAGCCCGAGGUCUUCGAGAUGGCCUUAUCUUGGCAAGUGAUAUUGGAUGCAAUAACAUAGUGGUCCAAGCUGAUUGCAUGGAGGUAAUUCAGGUGAUGCAAGAUGGUGGCACUCGUUAGGACCAGCAGCAACAAUCUUCGAGGACUACACUUUAUUAUGUCGUAAUUUUAAUUAUGUUAGUUGUUAUCAUUGCCCUAGGGAGGCCAAUAUGGCGGCAAACUUGUUAACUAGUAGAUCGGAGGUUUUCGCAAACCUUGAAUUGGCAAGACGAACCACCUGAUUUUCUAGUGGAUGUACUCCUAACCGAUGUAUCAUUGUUACCGCAUGAAAUAUAAACCGACAUGAUGUGAGUUGGGCGGGAGUACAUGCGUGUGGACGCUAUAGUUGGAAACGGCAUGGAGAUUGUCCAGGAGGGACGAAAUGUUGUCCAUGAAUUGAGCAUCUUGUCAGUGAUGCGUCGGUGAUCCCAUGCCUUGCUGACCCGUAGAUGUGGGACCCAAACAAAUAAAUAUCGCAAUAAAAAGCUCAUUUGCCUUGUUCCAAAUAAAUAACUAUGCAACGAAUAGCAAGUUAGUGUGACGACGACAUAUUACUUCUUCUUUUUUAUGAGAAAUAUAUUACUUCUGUCAUGCGUCAGUGAUAUGAUACUUAAACAGAAGAAUAGUAGAAUGGUACACACUACUAUUCAUCAACCCACGAAGGGGUAAAUAUACAGAGUACAUGGUGGUGACAGCCACAACUAUGUACGGGCAUGCACAACGUGCACCAAGUCGUGGGGCGUGGCAUGCGGUAGCAGAUCAGGUACAAGACGUGGGACUCGGUCCCUGUUACACUAGCAACGGGCAUCUUCCAAUAGCCCCCGCAGUCGCAACGGGAUCAUUGAGGACGUUGAGGCUAGACCGGAAGUCGGGGAAGAUGGGCGUCGGGAGCCCCUUCAUGAAGAUGUCGGCGAACUGUGACGUCGAGGGCACGUGGAGGACCCGAACGUCGCCGAAGGUGACACGCUCACGAACAAAGAGAAGGUCGAUCUCGAUGUGCUUCGUCCGUUGGUGCUGCACAGGGUUGGUGGAGAGGUACAUCAUGCUCACAUUGUCGCAGUAGACGACGGUCGCCGCGGACGGGGGCCGUCGGAGCUCGCGGAGUAGCUGCCGGAGUCAAUACGCCUCAGCCACGUCGUUGGCGACGGCCUUGUACUCCGCCUCGGCGCUGGAGAGCGAGAUAGUCGGUUGACGCUUCGAGGACCAUGAGACAAGGUUGUCGACAACGUAGAUGCAGAAGCCUGAUGUAGACUUGCGUGUGUCGGGACAGCCGGCCCAGUCGGCGUCCGAGUACGCAAUCAACCUGUGGUAGGAGGAGCGCCGAAGAUGAAGACUGAGUUGCAAGGUGCCGCGGAUGUAGCGUAGGAUCCGCUUGAGGACGGUGUAGUGCGGUUCACGCGGGUCGUGCACGAAUAGACAGACCUGCUGAACAGCGUAGGCGAUGUUCGGACGCGUGAGGGUGAGGUACUGGAGAGCUUCCGCUAAGCUGCAAUAGUGAGACGGGUCGGAGAGGGGAGGGCCGUCGGAAGCGGAGAGCUUGGAGCGAGUGUCAAUGGGCGUAGUGGCAGGCUUACAGUUGCUCAUGUGGGUGCGCUCAAGAACCUCUAAGGCAUACUGGUGCUGCGAGAGAAACAACCUGUGUGUGCCACAAGUGACAUUGAUGCCUAAAAAGUAGUGGAGAUCACCAAGGCCAGUCAUGGAAAACUCGCGGUGGAGCUGUGCGAUGAUGUGGCAAAGUACACCACCGAAGACAUCGAUGGUAUGAAUGACGAUGUCGGAGAUGAACAAGGCCAGGACCCGCCGUUUAGCGGACGUUGGACGGCCACCUCCUGAUAUGACGUGUAUAUGGUGGACACACCCAAAGAAGAUGACGGCGACGGCAGGAAGGAUCCGGUCGAGGACGAGCCUGUUGAGGCACCACCAAAGCGUCGACGUCAGUGGCGCCGUUCCAAAUCGCGUCGCGAAAAAGACAGUAAUACCGGCACCGGAGACAAUAACACUCCGGAUAAUGCCAAACACCCCGAAGCCCCCAUCGAGCCAACAUCUGAACAUGACAAUUGGGAGGAGGGGCAAGUCAACCCUGACGAUCCGGUCGGGAACGAGGACUCGGAGGAUAGUAACUAUCUACCACCCUCCGAAGACGACGUGAGCCUCGGUGACGAGGACUUCAUCGUGCCAGAGGAACCACUUGAGCAGGAGCGCUUUAAGCGCUAGCUAAUCGCCACGGCGAGAAGCCUAAAAAGAAGCAAAAAAACUCCAAGCCGAAUAGGAUACACUCAACGACAGAUGGACCCAGGUCCUAGCUACCGAAGAGUAUGGUUUUGAACGCCCACCAAGAAGUUAUCCGAAGCGUCGGUUACUACCACAAUUCGACGAUGAGGCCCUCGAGCCAAUACCGUCAAGACACCACCGCGCUGAUGAACCAGACUGGCCACCGCGUGGACGGGACAGAGCGGCUACUCAGGCUGAACACCAGCCCGCACCACCCCACCUUAGAGGCAGAGAGACAGCGGCUCCAGGAUAUACCUACGACCUACGACAGGACCUGGACAAUAGAGUCGGUCAGACCAGAUCAAUCUAUGUAUCAAGGGGGCAUGCCCCAACGUGAGAGGACGGCCAUCAGGCCUGGCGCGAUAAGCACAACCUCACCCGGGCCAAAAAUCGCAUACGGACGUCAUCCAAACUUUGUCAUGAUGUCGCGCGAUACAGAGGCGCCGCACACCCCUUAUGCUUCACCGAUGAGGUAACGGAGCACCAGUUCCCAGAAGGGUUCAAACCGGUAAACAUUGAAUCAUACGAUGGAACGAUAGAUCCCGCAGUAUGGAUAGAAGAUUUUCUUCUCCAUAUCCACAUGGCUCGCGGUGAUGAUCUCCAUGCCAUCAAGUACCUCCCCCUGAAGCUCAAGGGACCAGCACGACACUAGUUAAAUAGCCUCCCAGAAAACUCUAUUGGUAGCUGGGAAGACUUGGAGGAUGCCUUUAGAGACUACUUCCAAGGCACCUAUGUCCGGCCUUCGGACGCCGACGACCUUAGUCACAUAGUCCAGCAACCCGGAGAGUCAGCCCGGAAGCUCUGGACCAGGUUCUUAAUCAAAAAGAACCAAAUUGUCGAUUGUCUGGACGCCGAAGCCCUCGUGGCCUUUAAACACAGCGUCCGAGACGAGUGGCUUGCCCGACACCUCGGCCAAGAAAAGCCAAAGUCUAUGGCAGCCCUCACUGCACUCAUGACCCGCUUUUGCGCGGGAGAAGAUAGCUGGCUAGCUCGUAGAAGCAACAACACCAGCGACCCCGGCACCUCCGAAGCCAUGGAUGGCAAUAGUAGGCCACAACACAACCAAAAAAAAGCAUCAAAACAACAACGAAAAUACCGAAGAUACGGCGGUCAACGCCGGAUUCAGUGGCUCCAAACCAGGUCUGCAAAAGAAGCCAUUCAAAUGAAACAAGGAUAGCCCAUCUAGUUUGGACAGGAUAUUCGAUCGGCCUUGCCAGAUUCAUGGCUCCCCUGACAAGCCUGCCAAUCACACGAACAGAAAUUGUUGGGUUUUCAAACAGGCCGGUAAGAUAAACACCGAAAAUAAGAGGAAAGGGCCACCCAGCGAGGAUGACGAUGAAGAGCCUCGCCCACCGAACACAGGGGGACCGAAGAAAUUUCCCCCCGAGGUAAAAACGGUGAAUAUGAUAUACGUUACGCAUAUCCCAAAGAGGAGCGCAAGCGUGCUCUAAGGGACGUCUACGCCGUAGAGCCGGUCGCACCAAAAUUCAACCCCUGGUCGGCCUGUCCAAUCACCUUCGAUCGUAAGGAUCACCCGACCAGUACCCAUCACGGAGGUUCGGCGGCCUUGGUCCUCGAUCCAAUCAUCAACGGAUUCCAUCUCACAUGAGUCAUUAUGGACGGCGGUAGCAGUCUUAAUCUGCUCUAUCAGGACACGGUCCGCAAAAUGGGUAUUGAUCCGUCAAGAAUCAAGCCCACCAAAACCACCUUUAAAGGAGUAAUCCCUGGUGUGGAAGCCCGUUGCACAGGCUCCAUAACAUUGGAAGUGGUCUUCGGCUCGCCGGACAACUUCCGAAGCGAAGACUUGAUCUUCGACAUCGUCCCCUUCCCAGUGGUUACCACGCACUGCUUGGAAGAACCGCUUUCACCCGCUUCAAUGCGGUCCCGCAUUAUGCUUACUUAAAGCUCAAAAUGCCCGGACCUCGCGGCGUCAUAGCAGUCAAUGGAAAUACAGAGCACUCCCUCCAUACUGAGGAGCAUACCGCGGCCCUCGCAGCUGAAGUAUAGGGUGGCCUUAUCAAGCCGAACACUACCUCGGCAGUCAAGCCCUCAGACACUGUCAAACGAGUCCGGUCUACCUUGCAGAAUGACAGUCCGGCUCAUCCAGAGCUCGAUUAGCAUUUCAGCCUCCGUCAAAAUACCAACCCAAUUGCGGCAUUCGUACCGCGUGUACAUAACUACGCACUAAAGAUACCAUGGGCAAGGAUGGAGGCACACUAAAAAUAAAGUCCGCAAUACGGCUCGACCCUAUCCGGACCUUCAUAUAUUCUUUCUCUUUUCUUGUUAUUUUUUCAGGUUCUUUACAACCCACAUCACUUUUCGAUGGUACCAAGGGCACCUUUUCCAGGCCCCUUAUCUAUACCCGAUCGUCAAAGGAUCUUACACCAAGGCGAAAUGCGGCGCAGACGUGCGGCAGAACGUACAAGGGAUCCUCAAGAUCAUCUUUUCCUUUUUAAGGACCUGUAUACAGCUUUCCCUUGUCCUUGGCAUGUAAAAUAGCCUCGAUGCCCAUGGCACCAUCUUUAAAAAUACGUUUUGACGUAUCACUCAGACUAUAAUGGAAACAGUUCUGCCCAACCUUGUCCGGUAUUGGCUUAUUUCUUAAAUAUGUCUUCCCUCUGUACGUCAUAUUGACCUACACCUCGGCACGAUUUAAAACGCCAGGGGCUCCAUUAGGCCACAUGUAUUUUUCAAACAAAAGAAGUACGAACACUUUUAAAAGUACACUUCGGCAUCCCGAACAUGGCAUUAUAUGCAUUGGCUCCGAAUCAUGUCUUUGGUCAAUAGUUGGGUUGCCCGGCUCCUGUGGUUACCACCUUAUGUUCCGCUUGUUCGGCUAAGGUAGUAAAGGGAGAACUACUGCGAUUGUGUUUCUGAUUCAUCCGGUCAAGCACCUCAGUAGAAAAAACCGAAAACUGACUGUCAUGAUGCGGCGAGAGCUGGUCAGCAAUUUGGCGACUCACUAAAUCUUUAGCGAUUUUUUCUGUAUUAUACGAAGGACUGGCUUCGGUUCAGUCACGCGCCUCAGGUAUCCCAGCUCGGACAGCCACCUGCGCACCAGGGGCUAGUUCCUAACCCCACCGUCAAACUCCUCUGGCUAAGUGAAAGCGCUAAAGCCACAUAGUCUGAUUGCCUGGUUCGCUACGGAAGUCACCUCCUUUAGAGACCAAGAUGUUGGGUCAAGAGUGAUUACACGUUAUUCCGAACACCCCUGUAGUAUCUACUUGGGGGAUGAAGCCGACGACUGGCAAACUUUCAGAAAUAAAAACGGCCGCACAGGAGGAAAAAAUUUCAGAUAAAAUGACAAGUAUAUUACAAAGCCUUGGUUUAUAAUACAACGUUCGGGCAGUUCGGAUACAUUCCCUCGAACAUAAUAUCCUUUGAGCAUUGGCCCUCUAUCAAACGAGCACCUCCUAGGACGUCUUCAAAAUAGCGCCCCGGCCUGCGGUGGUCUUUGCCUCCAGGCGGACCCUCAAUUGCCACGUCGGCGGCCUUCAUCUUUGCCCAGUGCAUCUUGACACAGGCAAAGGCCAUCCGCGCACCUUCUAUGCACAUCGAGCGCUUCAGAGCCUCAAUGCGGGGCAGGGCGUCGCCGAGCCGCUUGACCAGGCCGAAGUAGCUGCUAGGAAUAGGUCCGGCCGGCCAUAGCCGGACUAUGAUAUCCUUCAUGGCCAAACCAGACCUCCUAUGCAGCUCCACCACCUGCAUCAUCUGGUUGUUUAGCAGCGCUGGCCGCUCCGGCGCCAGGUACUGCGACCAGAAGAGCUUCUCCGUCGUAUUCCCUCCUUGGGCCCGGAAAUACUGUGCAGCAUCGGCAGCACUCCUCGGGAGAUCCGAAAGGUGUCUGGAGCACUCCAUAGUCGAUUUAGCAUAGCAUAUCUUCGACCUCCAAAUAUACUCUGUAAAAGAAAAAGGCUUACCAGCCGCUAUCUGCCCGGCCUGCUUGAUCUCCUCGCGGGCCGCCCGGGACUCGCUCCACGCCUCCUUUACCUCUUGCAGAGCCUUGGUGAGUUCGGACGCUUGGGCCUUGUUACUCUCCUCCAAGGCUUCGCACUUUUUGGCAACAUCUUGGAGUGCCCGGUCCACUUCGGUCAUCCUCUCCUCAUGCUGACGGUGGGCGACCUGUUCGGCCUUCAAAUUCGUAGCCGCUUUGUCAGCGGCCACUUGGCUCACCCGCGCCCGCUCCUUGGCUUCGGCAAGGGCACCCUUGAGGGUCUCGACCUCGGGUGCGUUGCCUACAACUAUAUAUAUAUAUAUAUAUAUAUAUAUAUAUAUAUAUAUAGCAACACAUGAGCUUAAAUUCUAAUUUUGCAUUACAACUCAGGCUUACAAGGGACCUUUUGAAAGCAUACCUUGUUGCUCAUUGAACCACUUGUUAGCGCGGUCGAUCUCGUCAUCAGCCAGCUUUAGCUUCCGCUUGAGUUCGGAAACUUCAGCGGCCUGGGCAGAUGCCGCUAACAAUGAAGCAUGUGUUGGAAAUAUGCCCUAGAGGCAAUAAUAAAUGGUUAUUAUUAUAUUUCUUUGUUCAUGAUAAUAGUCUAUUAUUCAUGUUAUAAUUGUAUUGUCCGGAAAUCGUAAUACAUGUGUGAAUGCAUAGACCACAACGUGUCCCUAGUAAGCCUCUAGUUGACUAGCUCGUUGAUCAACAGAUAGUCAUGGUUUCCUGAGUAUGGACAUUGGAUGUCAUUGAUAACGGGAUCACAUCAUUAGGAGAAUGAUGUGAUGGACAAGACCCAAUCCUAAGCAUAGCAUAAAAGAUCGUGUAGUUUCGUUUGCUAGAGCUUUUCCAAUGUCAAGUAUCUUUUCCUUAGACCAUGAGAUCGUGCAACUCCCGGAUACCGUAGGAGUGCUUUGGGUGUGCCAAACGUCACAACGUAACUGGGUGACUAUAAAGGUGCACUACGGGUAUCUCCGAAAGUGUCUGUUGGGUUGGCACGGAUCGAGACUGGGAUUUGUCACUCCGUGUGACGGAGAGGUAUCUCUGGGCCCACUCGGUAAUGCAUCAUCAUAAUGAGCUCAAUGUGACUAAGGCGUUAGUCACGGGAUCAUGCAUUGCGGUACGAUUAAAGAGACUUGCCGGUAACGAGAUUGAACAAGGUAUUGGGAUACCGACGAUCGAAUCUCGGGCAAGUAACAUACCGAUUGACAAAGGGAAUUGCAUACGGGAUUGAUUGAAUCCUCGACACCGUGGUUCAUCCGAUGAGAUCAUCGUGGAACAUGUGGGAGCCAACAUGGGUAUCCAGAUCCCGCUGUUGGUUAUUGACCGGAGAGGCGUCUCGGUCAUGUCUGCAUGUCUCCCGAACCCGUAGGGUCUACACACUUAAGGUUCGGUGACGCUAGGGUUGUAGAGAUAUAUGUAUGCGGAAACCCGAAAGUUGUUCGGAGUCCCGGAUGAGAUCCCGGACGUCACGAGAGGUUCCGGAAUGGUCCGGAGGUGAAGAAUUAUAUAUAGGAAGUCCAGUUUCGGCCACCGGGAAAGUUUCGGGGGUUACCGGUAUUGUACCGGGACCACCGGAAGGGUCCCGGGGGUCCACCGGGUGGGGCCUGUUGGGAAUCGUAGCAUAAUUUAAAAUUUUCCUACGCUCACCAAGAUGCAUCUAUGGAGUCUACUAGCAACGAGGGGAAAGGAGUGGAUCUACAUACCCUUGUAGAUCGCGAGCGGAAGCGUUCCAAUGAACGUGGAUGACGGAGUCGUACUCGCCGUGAUCCAAAUCACCGAUGACCGAGUGUCGAACGGACGGCACCUCCGCGUUCAACACACGUACGGUGCAGCGACGUCUCCUCCUUCUUGAUCCAGCAAGGGGGAAGGAGAGGUUGAUGGAGAUCCAACAGCACGACGGCGUGGUGGUGGAUGUAGCGGGUCUCCGGCAGGGCUUCGCCGAGCUUCUGCGAGAGAGAGAGAGGUGUUGCAGGGGAGGAGGGAGGCGCCCAAGGCUUAGAUCUUGCUGCCCUCCCUUCCCCCCACUAUAUAUAGGGCCAAGGGAGAGGGGGGGGCGCAGCCUUGCCCCUUCCUUCAAGGAAGGGUGCGGCCAGGGGGGAGUCCUUCCCCCCCAAGGCACCUCGGAGGUGCCUUCCCCCUUUAGGACUCUCCCUUCUUUCUUAUCUCUUGCGCAUGGGCCUCUUGGGGCUGGUGCCCUUGGCCCAUAUAGGCCAAGGCGCACCCCUUACAGCCCAUGUGGCCCCCCGGGGCUGGUGGACCCUCGGACCCCUUUCGGCACUCCCGGUACAAUACCGAUAAAGCGCGAAACUUUUCCGGCGACCAAAAUAAGACUUCCCAUAUAUAAAUCUUUACCUCCGGACCAUUCCGGAACCUCUCGUGACGUCCGGGAUCUCAUCCGGGACUCCGAACAACUUUCGGGUUUCCGCAUACAUAUAUCUCUACAACCCUAGCGUCACCGGACCUUAAGUGUGUAGACCCUACGGGUUCGGGAGACAUGCAGACAUGACCGAGACGCCUCUCCGGUCAAUAACCAACAGCGGGAUCUGGAUACCCAUGUUGGCUCCCACAUGUUCCACGAUGAUAUCAUCGGGUGAACCACGGUGUCGAGGAUUCAAUCAAUCCGUAUGCAAUUCCCUUUGUCAAUCGGUAUGUUACUUGCCCGAGAUUCGAUCGUCGGUAUCCCAAUACCUAGUUCAAUCUCGUUACUGGCAAGUCUCUUUACUCGUACCGUAAUGCAUGAUCCCGUGACUAACGCCUUAGUCACAUUGAGCUCAUUAUGAUGAUGCAUUACCGAGUGGGCCCAGAGAUACCUCUCCGUUUACACGGAGUGACAAAUCCCAGUCUCGAUCCGUGCCAACCCAACAGACACUUUCGGAGAUACCCGUAAUGCACCUUUAUAGUCACCCAGUUACGUUGUGACGUUUGGCACACCCAAAGCACUCAUACGGUAUCCGGGAGUUGCACGAUCUCAUGGUCUAAGGAAAAGAUACUUGACAUUGGAAAAGCUCUAGCAAACGAAACUACACGAUCUUUUAUGCUAUGCUUAAGUUGGGUCUUGUCCAUCACAUCAUUCUCCUAAUGAUGUGAUCCCGUUAUCAAUGACAUCCAAUGUCCAUAGUCAGGAAACCAUGACUAUCUGUUGAUCAACGAGCUAGUCAACUAGAGGCUUACUAGGGACAGGUUGUGGUCUAUGUAUUCACACAUGUAUUAUGAUUUCCGGACAAUACAAUUAUAGCACGAAUAAUAGACUAUUAUCAUGAACACAGAAAUAUAAUAAUAACCAUUUAUUAUUGCCUCUAGGGCAUAUUUCCAACAAUUGCCCUUGCGAAGGAGCCCAGGUUUCACAGGAAGACCAGGCAUAUCAAGCGUCGCUUCAACUCCAUUCGUGAAAGUGUUCAAAAUGGAGACAUAGAUAUUUGUAAAGUACAUACGGACCUGAAUGUAGCAGAUCCGUUGACUAAACCUCUCCCUAGGGCAAAACAUGAUCAACACCAGGACGCAAUGGGUGUUCGAUUCAUCACAAUGUAACUAGAUUAUUGACUCUAGUGCAAGUGGGAGACUGUUGGAAAUAUGCCCUAGAGGCAAUAAUAAAUGGUUAUUAUUAUAUUUCUUUGUUCAUGAUAAUCGUCUAUUGUUCAUGCUAUAAUUGUAUUGUCCGGAAAUCGUAAUACAUGUGUGAACACAUAGACCACAACGUGUCCCUAGUAAGCCUCUAGUUGACUAGCUCGUUGAUCAACAGAUAGUCAUGGUUUCCUGACUAUGGACAUUGGAUGUCAUUGAUAACGGGAUCACAUCAUUAGGAGAAUGAUGUGAUGGACAAGACCCAAUCCUAAGCAUAGCAUAAAAGAUCGUGUAGUUUCGUUUGCUAGAGCUUUUCCAAUGUCAGGUAUCUAUUCCUUAGACCAUGAGAUCGUGCAACUCCCGGAUACCGUAGGAGUGCUUUGGGUGUGCCAAACGUCACAACGUAACUGGGUGACUAUAAAGGUACACUGCGGGUAUCUCCGAAAGUGUCUGUUGGGUUGGCACGGAUCGAGACUGGGAUUUGUCACUCCGUAUGACGGAGAGGUAUCUCUGGGCCCACUCGGUAAUGCAUCAUCAUAAUGAGCUCAAUGUGACUAAGGCGUUAGUCACGGGAUCAUGCAUUGCGGUACGAGUAAAGAGACUUGCCGGUAACGAGAUUGAACAAGGUAUUGGGAUACCGACGAUCGAAUCUCGGGCAAGUAACAUACCGAUUGACAAAGGGAAUUGUAUACGGGAUUGAUUGAAUCCUCGACACCGUGGUUCAUCCGAUGAGAUCAUCGUGGAACAUGUGGGAGCCAACAUGGGUAUCCAGAUCCCGCUGUUGGUUAUUGACCGGAGAGGCGUCUCGGUCAUGUCUGCAUGUCUCCCGAACCCGUAGGGUCUACACACUUAAGGUUCGGUGACGCUAGGGUUGUAGAGAUAUGUGUAUGCGGAAACCCGAAAGUUGUUCGGAGUCCCGGAUGAUAUCCCGGACGUCACGAGAGGUUCCGGAAUGGUCCGGAGGUGAAGAAUUAUAUAUAGGAAGUCAAGUUUCGGCCACCGGGAAAGUUUCGGGGGUUACGGGUAUUGUACCGGGACCACCGGAAGGGUCCCGGGGGUCCACCAGGUGGGGCCACCUAUCCCGGAGGGCCACGUGGGCUGAAAGUGGAAGGGAACCAGCCCUUAGUGGGCUGGGGCGCCCCCCUUGGUCCUCCCCCCAUGCGCCUAGGGUUGGGAACCCUAAGGGGGGGAGCUUCCCCCUUGCCUUGGGGGGCAAGGCAACCCCUUCCCCCCUUUGGCCGCCGCCCCCCUUGGAGAUCCGAUCUCCCAGGGCCGGCGCCCCCCAGGGGGCCUAUAUAAAGGUGGGGAGGGAGGGCAGCAACACACAGCCUUGGGCGCCUCCCUCCUCCCCUGCAACACCUCUCUCUCUCUCGCAGAAGCUCGGCGAAGCCCUGCCGGAGACCCGCUACAUCCACCACCACGCCGUCGUGCUGCUGGAUCUCCAUCAACCUCUCCUUCCCCCUUGCUGGAUCAAGAAGGAGGAUACGUCGCUGCAUCGUACGUGUGUUGAACGCGGAGGUGCCGUCCGUUCGGCACUCGGUCAUCGGUGAUUUGGAUCACGGCGAGUACGACUCCGUCAUCCACGUUCAUUGGAACGCUUCCGCUCGCGAUCUACAAGGGUAUGUAGAUGCACUCCCUUCCCCUCGUUGCUAGUACACUCCAUAGAUGCAUCUUGGUGAGCGUAGGAAAAUUUUGAAUUAUGCUACGAUUCCCAACAGUGGCAUCAUGAGCCAGGCCUAUGCGUAGUUACUAUGCACGAGUAGAACACAAAGCAGUUGUGGGCGUUGAGUUUGCCAAUUCUUCUUGCCGCUACUAGUCUUUUCUUGUUUCGGCGGCACUGUAGGAUGAAGCGGCCCGGACCGACCUUACACGUACGCUUACGUGAGACAGGUUCCACCGACUGACAUGCACUAGUUGCAUAAGGUGGCUAGCGGGUGUCUGUCUCUCCUACUUUAGUCGGAACGGAUUCGAUGAAAAGGGUCCUUAUGAAGGGUAAAUAGAAAUUGGCAAAUCACGUUGUGGUCAUACGUAGGUAAGAAACGUUCUUGCUAGAAACCUACAAACCACGUAAAAA
rnacentral:lncRNA from 1 species